rnacentral:rRNA from 1 species
UACGAAGGGAGCUAGCGUUGCUCGGAAUCACUGGGCGUAAAGCGCACGUAGGCGGGUCGUUAAGUCAGGGGUGAAAUCCUGGAGCUCAACUCCAGAACUGCCCUUGAUACUGGCGAUCUUGAGUUCGGGAGAGGUGAGUGGAACUGCGAGUGUAGAGGUGAAAUUCGUAGAUAUUCGCAAGAACACCAGUGGCGAAGGCGGCUCACUGGCCCGAGUACUGACGCUGAGGCACGAAAGCGUGGGAGCAA